AAUUGCUUUAGUCCCCUUUUUUGCAAAAAUACUGGCUCUCUCAAAAUCACCGUGGAUGACACAUAAUCGGAAGGCAUCCAGAAGUGCAAUUAUAUCUAACCGACCGAAAAGAAGCUCUUCGUGGGCAAUGUGUAUCCUAUGUCUCAAUGCUCUUAGAGCACCUCUUGGAUUAACUAUACACAUUUUUGCCAUGGUUCGGUCAUAGUAGGCCAGUUGCUUUCUCCUUAAAUCGCUGAUUUUCCUAAUCUUUCGUUCCUCUACAGAGCAAACACUACAAUAACAUUUAAAUCCAAAAUGCUCGAGCAAUAUUUUUUGUCUUUCCGUAUGUGAUUUAUGUAAGUCUAUAUAUGUCGUAAGUAUUUCCUCGCCAGCCUCGAUGUCGCGAACAGCAUGAACCGUAACCUGAUCAAGUCUAGGAUUCCACGUAUGUUUCACGUUAGGACUACAAUCGUGAUUCAUUCGAGAACCAAGUAAAAACAUUCCACCCUUUGUCUCAUCAAUGGUCAGCGCAUUGGAAUAAAAUGGCCCAAGGAAUGGUCCCAUAGUGUCUGGAUGAGCGUUGAAAAGUCUAUGAAAAGCUUCCUGUUCUUCUUUUGUUUUUGUAGACAGUGCUUCCUCGAUUUCCUUAGCGUCACUUUUUGUCCUUAUCAAAGGCGUUUCUGCAAAAAUUCUUGUACCGACGGGGAUUUUUACUUUUGCAAUCAUACCCAUUCCUUUGUUAGGAAUGGGGACAACUUUAUAAAUCUCUGUUUCAUACGGGUUCAUGUAGUACGAUUAAGCAAUACAUUAACGCAUGGACGCUUAAAGUUUUCAAAGUUUGGAGAUUUUGGUGGUUACGAAAUACGCUGCAAAAAAUAGAGAAAAAGAAUCCAAUAUAUAUGGAUAAAGCUGAAAAUAGUUCUUUACUAUUUACUCCAAUAUUUCUUUUUCUUUUAUUGUACUUUUAACCCCAAUUGGUUAUAUCACAAUUUGUUUUUCCCAAGAGAUCUGUCAAUUUUCAAAAAAAAAAAAAAAAGAAAAGGAAUAUAAUUCGAAUUUCAAAAUGUUCAGAGUGUUAUGGCAUUUUA